GCUUCUCUCUCUCUCUCUCUCUACUGAGGAUCUCUUGCUAUUCCGAGCCAGCGGUUUGUUUUCUUUGCUGUACAUUACUAAUUCGGUGUCACUAACACCGUAUUCUUGAUUCUCAAGCCCCGUUCAAGAACUCACGCUGCUCUUUCUGUUCUUGAGGAACUGGAACUUCACUAAUCUGGAUGCAAGGGAAUCGGUACUGAAGAACAAUGGUUGGGACCCCGGCCACGCCAGCAUCUAAGAUACAG
rnacentral:misc_RNA from 1 species